rnacentral:rRNA from 1 species
ACUCGGAUACCCGUAGUAAUUCUAGAGCUAAUACGUGCGUACAUCCCGACUUCUGGAAGGGACGUAUUUAUUAGAUAAAAGGCCGACCGGGCUUGCCCGACUCGCGGUGACUCAUGAUAACUUCACGAAUCGCAUGGCCUUGCGCCGGCGAUGUUUCAUUCAAAUUUCUGCCCUAUCAACUUUUGAUGGUAGGAUAGAGGCCUACCAUGGUGGUAACGGGUGACGGAGAAUUAGGGUUCGAUUCCGGAGAGGGAGCCUGAGAAACGGCUACCACAUCCAAGGAAGGCAGCAGGCGCGCAAAUUACCCAAUCCUGAUACAGGGAGGUAGUGACAAUAAAUAACAAUACCGGGCCUUUGGUCUGGUAAUUGGAAUGAGUACAACCUAAACACCUUAACGAGGAUCAAUU